GGCGAACGCUGGCGGCAGGCUUAACACAUGCAAGUCGAGCGGGCAUAGCAAUAUGUCAGCGGCAGACGGGUGAGUAACGCGUGAGAACGUACCUUUUGGUUCGGAACAACACAGGGAAACUUGUGCUAAUACCGGAUGAGCCCUAACGGGGCAAGAUUUAUCGCUGAAAGAUGGGCCCGCGUCUGAUUAGCUAGUUGGUUUGGUAAUGGCUUAACAAGGCGACGAUCAGUAGCUGGUCUGAGAGGAUGAUCAGCCACAUUGGGACUGAGACACGGCCCAAACUCCUACGGGAGGCAGCAGUGGGGAAUAUUGGACAAUGGGCGCAAGCCUGAUCCAGCCAUGCCGCGUGAGUGAUGAAGGCCCUAGGGUUGUAAAGCUCUUUUGUGUGGGAAGAUAAUGACGGUACCGCAAGAAUAAGACCCGGCUACCUUCGUGCCAGCCGCCGCCGUAA
rnacentral:rRNA from 1 species